UCUUCUCUAAAACUACUGUUCCAAAUUUAACCAUACUUGACCUUAAUCAUCAUUGAGGUAUCUAGUUUAAAAAAUGUGUGCAGUGACCAGGCCAACUAUCCAAGAUGGCCACCAUGGCUAAAAAUAGAACAUAGGGGUAAAAUGUAGAUUUUGGCUUAUAACUCUGAAACCAAAGCAUUAAGAGCAAUUCAGACAGAGAUAAAUUGUUUUGCAAGUCAAGAUCUAUCUGCCC
rnacentral:lncRNA from 1 species